rnacentral:tRNA from 1 species
AGAUAAUGAUCUUGAAUAAGAAUAUAUUUUGAAAAUAUAAAAUAGAACUAACAUUUCUAUUAUCUU